GUAAUGUUGUGAAGUUGUCUUCAAGUUUAAAGCAAAGUAAUAAAAGUUCUAUUUCCUAAAACUCUCUCUCAAAACAGUUAAACACUUUCUCCAUUACCUCUAAAAGAAUUUUACUCUAACAAAGUGGUAUCAGAGCUUAAAGAUCCUAAAGAUGGCGAGUAACAAUGUUCCCUUCCAAGU
rnacentral:sRNA from 1 species